rnacentral:rRNA from 1 species
AAGUCGUAACAAGGUUUCCGUAGGUGAACCUGCGGAAGGAUCAUUAACGAGUUAGGGUCUUCUAAGGCCCGACCUCCCAACCCUAUGUUUAUUGUACCUUGUGUUGCUUCGGCGGGACCGUCUCACGACCGCCGGAGGGCCGUAAAACGUCCUCUGGCCCGCGCCCGCCGAUGGCCCCCCACAAAAAAUUCUGAAUAAAUCAUGCCUAAUUGUCUGAGUAUAAUACACAAAAAUUAAAAGCAAAACUUUCAACAACGGAUCUCUUGGUUCUGGCAUCGAUGAAGAACGCAGCGAAAUGCGAUAAGUAAUGCGAAUUGCAGAAUUCCAGUGAGUCAUCGAAUCUUUGAACGCACGUUGCGCCCUUUGGUAUUCCGAAGGGCAUGCCUGUUCGAGCGUCAUUUUCACCCCUCAAGCCCCCGGCUUGGUUUUGGACGGUCUGGUUUAGGCACCGCCUAGACCCCUCCUAAAGAUAAUGACGGCGGCCUCGUUGGACCCCCGGUACACUGAGCUUCUUAACUGAGCACGUAUCGGAUCAAGGGUGCGCGGGACACGGUCUUUCAACCCCCUUUUUUUUCUAAGGUUGACCUCGGAUCAGGUAGGAAUACCCGCUGAACUUAA